CAUCAGGAACACAGAGAGCCACAACCAGUAAAGAUUCACCUGGUGCUGACUUUGUGGAUAAAUACAAAGCAGAUCUCAUUCAGAGCGUUCCUUCAGUAAUGGAGAUAGCAGACUGUAUCAAAAGCAAGGAAUUUACUAGUGAAAUGUACAAUAAGAUCCAUGCAGAGGCAACACCACAAGACAAAAUGAGAGAAUUGUACAAAUAUCUCAACUCAGCAGGACGAGCUGCAAAAGCUGAAUUCGAUCACAUUCUUCCGAGAGAAACAUCGCGAUUUAGUGACAGAGCUGGAGUCAGGAUCUGGUCUGCAUUAGUGGAGGUUUAUCAGAGUAAAUCACAGGCAGACAGGGGUCUAGCCCCAAUUCUUGGGCCCUAUGCAAAGACAGUGUGUGGGGGCCCCUUUCCCAUCAUCUCAUGAUCCAUGCCAUUUAUCACUUAAAAAAAACAAAAAAAAAAUAGUACACAUUUCACUCACUAAUAGAGUAACUGCUGACAAUCACUGACAUAAAAUAAAAAAGAACAGUAUUAAAAAUACAAAUGUGUAUAGUAUAAAAAAUUAUUUGUAGUCAUGUUAAUGCAGCACAGAAUUAUUUUCAUGUAUGAAUUGUUCUAUAUCUGGGGUAGGCAGCAUGUCCUGUAGACUUUAGUCCCAACCAUAAUAAAGUAUUUUCUUUUCUUUU